UACGUAGGGUGCGAGCGUUAAUCGGAAUUACUGGGCGUAAAGCGUGCGCAGGCGGUUUUGUAAGCCAGAUGUGAAAUCCCCGGGCUUAACCUGGGAAUGGCAUUUGGGACUGCAAGGCUCGAGUGCGGCAGAGGAGACUGGAAUUCCUGGUGUAGCAGUGAAAUGCGUAGAUAUCAGGAGGAAUACCGAUGGCGAAGGCGGGUCUCUGGGCCGAUACUGACGCUGAGGAGCGAAAGCGUGGGGAGCGAACAGG
rnacentral:rRNA from 1 species